rnacentral:rRNA from 1 species
GUGGGGAAUUUUGGACAAUGGGCGCAAGCCUGAUCCAGCAAUGCCGCGUGCAGGAAGAAGGCCUUCGGGUUGUAAACUGCUUUUGUACGGAACGAAACGGUCCGGGUUAAUACCCUGGGCUAAUGACGGUACCGUAAGAAUAAGCACCGGCUAACUACGUGCCAGCAGCCGCGGUAAUACGUAGGGUGCAAGCGUUAAUCGGAAUUACUGGGCGUAAAGCGUGCGCAGGCGGCUUUGUAAGACAGGCGUGAAAUCCCCGGGCUCAACCUGGGAAUUGCGCUUGUGACUGCGAGGCUGGAGUGCGGCAGAGGGGGAUGGAAUUCCGCGUGUAGCAGUGAAAUGCGUAGAUAUGCGGAGGAACACCGAUGGCGAAGGCAAUCCCCUGGGCCUGCACUGACGCUCAUGCACGAAAGCGUGGGGAGCAAACAGGAUUAGAUACCCUAGUAGUCC